CCUACGGGUGGCAGCAGUGAGGAAUCUUGGUCAAUGGGCGCGAGCCUGAACCAGCCAAGUCGCGUGAGGGAAGACGGUCCUAUGGAUUGUAAACCUCUUUUGUCGGGGAGCAAAAGACGCCACGCGUGGCGUUCCGAGAGUACCCGAAGAAACAGCAUCGGCUAACCCCGUGACAGCAGCCGCGGUAAUACGGAGUCUGCGAGCGUGAUCCGGAUGUAUUGGGGUAAAAGGGUGCGCAGACGGAAGAUCAAGUCAGCGGUAAAAUUGAGAGGUUCAACCUCUUCGAGCAGUUGAAACUGGUUUUCUUGAGUGAGUGAGAGGUAUGCGGAAUGCGUGGUGUAGCGGUGAAAUGCAUAGAUAUCACGAAGAACUCCGAUUGCGAAGGCAGCAUACCGGCGCUCAACUGACGCUCAUGCACGAAGGUGUGGGUAUCGAACAGGAUUAGAUACCCGGGUAGUC
rnacentral:rRNA from 1 species